rnacentral:rRNA from 1 species
UACGUAGGGUGCAAGCGUUUGUCCGGAAUUAUUGGGUACGUAAGAGCUCGUAGGCGGUUCGUCACGAUUCGGCUGUGAAAUCCCGAGGCUCAACCUCGGGUCUGCAGUCGAUACGGGCGGACUGGAGUACUGCAGGGGAGACUGGAAUUCCUGGUGUAGCGGUGAAAUGCGCAGAUAUCAGGAGGAACACCGGUGGCGAAAGGCGGGUCUCUGGGCAGUAACUGACGCUGAGGAGCGAAAAGCGUGGGGGAGC